AUUGAACGCUGGCGGCAGGCCUAACACAUGCAAGUCGAACGAGUGGCGGACGGGUGAGUAAUGUCUGGGAAACUGCCUGAUGGAGGGGGAUAACUACUGGAAACGGUCGCUAAUACCGCAUACCAUCAGAUGUGCCCAGAUGGGAUUAGCAAGUUGGUGGGGUAACGGCUCACCAAGGCGACGAUCCCUAGCUGGUCUGAGAGGAUGACCGGCCCCACUGGAACUGGGACACGGUCCAGACUCCUACGGGAGGAAGAGGUGGGGAAUAUUGCACAAGGGCGGCAAGCCUGAGACAGCCAUGCCGCGUGGAUGAAGAAGGCCUUCGGGUUGUAAAGUACUUUCAGCGGGGAGGCGGUACCCGCAGAAGAAGCACCGGCUAACUCCGUGCCAGCCGCCGCGGUAAUAC
rnacentral:rRNA from 1 species